AACCUUCCAUGAGACAUUAAAGACAUUUUCUUCAAUAUUAAGAUGGAUGUAGCGUUUUUGCUCCAGCUAUUGGCAGACAAGAUUUCUCUCCUCUUCUUCAAGAGCUUCAAAGCAAGGUGAACCGUACUCUAUAAUGAAGUAAAAUAUCGGGGAAGCUUUUACGAAGGUGAUCCAAGUAUGAUCCUUAGUCUGCGACCUUCUACGAGCUCGUAUGAGCAAUAAAAGAUUUUGGAGGAAACGGGACUUGAAUUUGGAUAGGCGUAAAAGGCAAAUAAGGUACAGACGAUCGAUUUGUUGAUCCGCCCGCUUAGGAUUCUAUUCUGCUAUCUUGGAGUGCUCCUUUGUCUGGAGCCUAUAUUUUGGGUACAUACUCUUCUGUUGCACAUAUGUAUGUUAUUCAGGGGUAUGACGGGGCCCUGUCCCGUCUUAUGAUCUGUUUGUUGUUCGUAGAGGUCUGCAGACAUACAUGUGGGUUGUGUAUAUGUUUUGGGUUGCUAUGUUCUAUGAUAGCCUUAUCGGCUUCCGUGCGAUAUGUCUGUUUGUCUGCGAUAAUUAGUAAAGCCAUUCGACUUCUGUAUCUGUAUAUUCUGCUUAUAUUCUAGUUUGGAUUAUUGGGUA